GUAUACUUUCUGAUGAUCCUGUCACGAUUCCUUACCUUGGCUCCCAGGACUUGUAGGAAUUGCUCCUCUGCUCUAAUUCUUCAUUCUGCUGAGUACCCCCAUACCUUUGCUGAAGACCCUGCUCUUGCUGAAUAGCCCCCCACCCCAAUACAGCAGUACAUUAUAGGAUUUUAAGUAUCAAUCAACCCAAAACACAUGUAACUUUCUCUUUGUACUGAGGCCUGCCUGCCAUUGCCUCUCUGUGAACCCUGCCAAUGGCCCACUAUAACAUCAGUUUCUCUCCAUUCUCAUGUGCCAUUGUGGUCUCUUUCUUAGAUGCCAUGACUUCAGUUCUAAAAUAAGGCUUGUUCAGUCUGGGCAAAUUCUUACUUCCCUAGCAGCGUCUCCCUACUCAAUCCUGAAUUGUUUAGGAGGAUCACCUGAGUCUGUGGAGAAGCUUUUUGGGGAAUGCAGGUGGCUGCAGGGGAGUCAGAGGGGACAGGAAACUUUUAUUCCCUGUUCGUUAAAUUGACUUAUCGUAGGAUCCCAGCCUAUAUACUUAUAAUUGUUCAUUGAGGGAAGCUUGCAUUAUCAAUUUUAGAUUCCCCCCUCAGUCCAGAACUGAAUUAAGAUGGAUGAAUAUGUGAUAUCACAGUCUGUGAACAAUUCCCAUUUUUAAGGGCCAAGUACUGGCCUAUAACAUGGGCACAUGUUUGAACUGUUUUUAAGAUUAGGGUAACACAAAUGUAUCUAAAUUCAUGUGACUGACAAAAUUAACUUGUGUGAAAAGCUGAUUGUGACCUUCAAUGUUAUCAAAUACCUGGAAAAAAUGCUUACAAUUUUGGGUAAUUAUUAUUUUUAAUAGAAUUCUACAACUGGGUAUAGUGCAAGAAGGAUGUUACACUUAUUUCAGCACCAAUUUGGCAGCAAUCCUAACAUUUACCCAUGAGUAAGCCCCAUUCAACUCAGUGCUACAUCCUUUUCAGUAGACAUGCAUGAGAUUGCCAUGUUAGUUUGGACUAGCUUUAAGCAUUAGUGAGUUCCUGGUUGUUGUUGUUAUUAUUAUGAUAUUAUUUAUACCUCGCCCAUCUGGCUGGGUGUCCCCAGCCACUCUGAGCUGCUCUUAAUUGCAUGUUCAGUUUUGUAUUCCUGUUUUUGGGGGACAGGGGCUGAGUUGAAAAUCCAUGUUCUCAUCACUACACAGUCAGUAAAAUUUACCAUUGUAAAUAAUUGUUAGAAUUGCCUGCUAUUGGGUGCUUUAAGCCUGCUAAAUAUAUAUAAAUAAUCUGACCUUUAAAGCAUUAUAAUACAGAAAUAUUUCUGUAAUGAUAAAUGUGAUUUAAAAGGAUAGGGACUUGUCCUCUUUUAGAUAGGCAUAUUUUUUAAAGUAGGCAUUCAAUCCUUAUGAGAAGUGUUGAGUUGUGACAGCCAUACAAGAUGGAUUCCUGUAUUUAUCUGCGAAAGGGGCACAGCACAGGCAGCUGCAGUACAUGCUUCCCGAGCAAUGAGCCUGAACUCUGACCUAGAGAUAUCACCUCUGUGAGAUGAGUCUUCAUGCCCAUUCAAUCCUUGACCCUUCUGCUUCAGACUACCAUUGACUUGGCCAAUUUAUGAUGGGGACCCAGCGCUGUUCGUUUCAUAUCUAUUGCCAGACUUGCUUUGAAUGGUAAUGACCUGGUGAUAACCUGAACGCAGAGAGUCAAGCCAGUGUCCUAGAGGUGAAAGGCUGUCAUUGCAACAUUUAUCAUACACACCACACGUGCUUCCCUGUGGAUAUGUUCACAUGUAUUAAAACCGUUUUCUUUGUGAAUGUCUGUUGCUUUUCAUGUCUAAAGAAGAAAUAAAACACAGAAAAGCAGGAAUGAGACAGUCUUUCUUAACAUUUUUUCUUCUUGUGCAGAGUUCUAGAAUAUAGACCUUGCAGGCAUUUUCAGUAUGACUCUUACUGAUUUAUAUCAAAAAAGCAUGGAGGUCUCUUGGUUGACCCUCCCUGUACAUAGUAUCCUUUAUUCCCAUUAGGGUGAAAGAGAGCCAGCUAAUGCAUUCAAGAUUCACCCCCUCCCCAUUUUUCCAUUAUUAAUUAAUUCUAACUCAGUCACUUUCGCUAAAGCUUUAAUGGUGUCAAGGCCCUUUCCUCCCCCAUUCCUUUCCAAAGGAUUUGAAUAACAUUGCUCAUUUAGAGCCUGUCUUAACCUCUGUAUGGUUGGGCAAUUUGAAUUCUUAUUCUUUCUUCCCCCCUUUUUCCCUCUAUUCACUCUUCCAGUUGUUUAAUGCUGAUUCAGCCAUGCAUUACCAGUCAACCUUUAUGUAUAAAUUCCAUAAUAAAUUAAAUAAAGCUCUGUGUGGGUCAGCUUAGGCUAGCCCGAUUAAAAAAUGAUUUACUAAAGAGACACAGAGAGAGGGACAGUAGAAUGUGCUUCUAAAUCAAUUAUGAGUCCAUUCACUGUCAGCCUGUUGUACAUAAUAGUGUAUUAAAGUGCAUUCUAUAGUGUAAAAAAAAUUGACUCUUUCGUUGAAAGUGAAUUAAUAUUUGCAAGUGCAUAAUAAUGUUUGAAAAGCUAUAAACAUUCGAAUUUAAUCCCUCAUUUCAGGCUAAGUAUAUACAGCAUGAAUUAUAAUAUCCAGAUGAAUCUUUAUGUUGUGCUUAUGUCAUUUUUAUAGCAAGAUCCCCACAAUGCAAAAAGUGAAUCUGGGGUGGUGGCUAUUCUUAUAAGACUGAACAUCAAGGGGAGAAAUGGGGCCACUGAACUAUGAAAAUAAAAUUGAUUUCAAAGUUCAGUUCCGCAUAUAAAAUGAUAGUUGUGUUGGCAAAUUAUUACAUACCGUCUUCUGUUUAGCAUAAGUGUAUUGCCCUUAGGAUAUACUGCUGUGGCCACUAAAGGAAUAUUGAAUUGGUCUGGUGGAAGUAGAAUAAAUAAUGAUUUUUAAAGAUACAGUCUCACUAUGGCAUGUAGGCACUAUUAAAAGAAGUGUUUCCAAUUAUCCCAUCUGGGCAGAAAGGUGGCAAGUGAUACUAAUGCUUCAUGGUUAAUUCUCACAAUUUAUUUCUAUUCAAAUUAUUAUUCUAUGCUUAAUAUUGGAUAGCUAAAUGUUUGAAUGGACAGCAAAAACCACUUCUUUUAAGGUGGUGUGAUACAAAAAUAAAAUGUUUACGUUGAACUUAGUGGUAAGAACAUUUGCGCCUACAAGUUUGAUUGCAGUCAUCAGGUAAGGACCAUGGUGGAAUCUGCACACAUGUUAAAAAAUGUUGUGAAAAUGCUUUUUUUAAAAAAAAAAUAAGUUUUUAAAAAAUGCAUUGAAUUUGCUAUAGCUCAACAGUCGUCAUCUAGUGUCACAGUUGUAUAUAGCACUUUACAACACAUUCGAAACGUUUUAUUGGCAGCUGUAUAGCUGAGUCCCACAUCAGCCCUUUGCUGAUUAUGUAUGGAAAAGUUUAUCUUAAUUGGGGUAAUUAUUUUGUGAAAAAUUGCCAGAUAUCUCACAUGAUUAUUUAAAUCAGAGUUGAGUAAUCUUUUUUUCUGUUGAGGGCCACUUCCCCUCAACUGUAGCGUGACAGAACUAAUGGUGUUCUGGAUUACAGAGUAAAAGAUUGUCCUGCUUUUUCACCAUGACUUCCUCAGUUUUGAAUUCCCAACCCUAUGCAGGUCUACUCUGAGUAAACCCUACUGGGUUUGAUGGGGUUACUCUUGGAUAAAUAUUCAGGAUCAUUAUUUUUUAAAUCAGCACAGCAGAGCUGUGCAGGUGCUGAUCUUAAAGGCAAUUUCUGACUUUAGGUACACACACACACACACACACACACACACACACACACGGGAAGUCUCCCAAUUUGUUCUCCAAAAGGAAAAACUUUUUUAAAAAACAAAACAUUUUUAUC